rnacentral:rRNA from 1 species
CCUACGGGAGGCAGCAGUAGGGAAUAUUGCUCAGUGGGGGAAACCCUGAAGCAGCAACGCCGCGUGGAGGAUGAAGGUUUUCGGAUUGUAAACUCCUAUUGUCAGAGAAGAUAAUGACGGUAUCUAACGAAUAAGCACCGGCUAACUCCGUGCCAGCAGCCGCGGUAAUACGGAGGGUGCAAGCGUUACUCGGAAUCACUGGGCGUAAAGAGAGCGUAGGCGGGAUAGCAAGUCAGAUGUGAAAUCCUAUGGCUUAACCAUAGAACUGCAUUUGAAACUGUUAUUCUAGAGUAUGGGAGAGGUAGGUGGAAUUCUUGGUGUAGGGGUGAAAUCCGUAGAGAUCAAGAGGAAUACUCGUGGCGAAGGCGACCUGCUAGAACAUGACUGACGCUGAGGCGCGAAAGCGUGGGGAGCAAACAGGAUUAGAUACCCCUGUAGUC